rnacentral:rRNA from 1 species
AGUGAACGCUGGCGGUAGGCCUAACACAUGCAAGUCGAACGGCAGCACAGUAAGAGCUUGCUCUUACGGGUGGCGAGUGGCGGACGGGUGAGGAAUACAUCGGAAUCUACUUUUUCGUGGGGGAUAACGUAGGGAAACUUACGCUAAUACCGCAUACGACCUACGGGUGAAAGCAGGGGAUCUUCGGACCUUGCGCGAGUGAAUGAGCCGAUGUCGGAUUAGCUAGUUGGCGGGGUAAAGGCCCACCAAGGCGACGAUCCGUAGCUGGUCUGAGAGGAUGAUCAGCCAGACGGGAACUGAGACACGGUCCAGACUCCUACGGGAGGCAGCAGUGGGGAAUAUUGGACAAUGGGCGCAAGCCUGAUCCAGCCAUACCGCGUGGGUGAAGAAGGCCUUCGGGUUGGAGAGCCCUUUUGUUGGGAAAGAAAAGCAGCAGGUUAAUACCCCGCUGUUCUGACGGUACCCAAAGAAUAAGCACCGGCUAACUUCGUG